rnacentral:lncRNA from 1 species
UCUAAUCUUAAAUCUUUCAGAGGUUAGAUUGCAACGAAAAGCGUUUGUACUUACGUAUCUUUGUUUUUUCGUAUAUUUAUAUCACAAAGCAUAUUUUUCGAUUCAUCGCAAACAAAAUUGAACGUACGUAAGAACUCAAUACUGCGGUUCCAGAAAAUUGUGUAACUACGCGUGUGUACGGUUGGGAUAAAACGAAUACCGGAAGGAUGUUGCGUAAACGGAAGUGCGUGCGAGGCUUUUUGUUUCUUCCAGCCUUAUUGAGGGAUGCACCUGACAACAAGUUGCCGAUACAAUGGCCCGGCUGGAAGUAGAGUGAAUGGAUAAAGGAUACGAAAAAUUACAAGUCUCCAAGAUCCGGACUUGCGUCAUAUCGUAUCCUGACCGCGGAUAAACGUCGUAAGAACAAUGACCGCCUCGGACAGUGAAAAGAAAACAGCAAACCGCUAAUCGACCAAAAAAGGUAGCAACAAAAGAAGCCUGAUUGGAUCCCUCCAUCUUCUGUUCCCGAUGAAAACCUGCAGGAUACGAAAUCGCAGGAAAAAAUCAAAAAAGAAAGACGCACAGAAGGAGGCUCAUUCAUUUCGUAAUCGCGAAAUCGACAGAAGCGGCAAUCCAAAAGAAAUCUCGAUCCAAAGAUGUUCACACAAUCGCAUAACCAUCGAACCACGUGGAACCCCCGCCCGAGUGGCAAGCGUGCACGUCACGAGGCACGCAAUCCCCAUGGGUCGUCCAUACGCACGAAAAUUAUAACAGACCCCCAAGAUACACUUUCUCUUCUUCUCUCCAUUCCAGCUUCCUCUCUUCUCCGCCAUCUCUCUCUCUCUCUCUCUCUCUCUCUCUCUCUCUCUCUCUCUCUCUCUCUCUCUCUCUCUCUCUGUCGCUGGGGAUACCGGUAAAGAACGCAAGAACGGGAGAAGAAAAAGAUAAGAGGAGGAGUGUUUAAAGGAGGAUUGCUUCCGCAAAAAUCGAGAAUCUUGAGGUGGCAUUCGCUCGGAACUCGUUACACGUUCCGUAUGGCGGGUCCGGUGUGUCGCAGCGUCGGGCUCGAAACUACAGGGUACGGAAACGAAGAGAAGAAAGAACACGUGAUUACACGGGGAGGGGGACCGAUCAUGCAGCGCCAACGUUUCUUCUUCUCCACCGAUCUUAGUCGGAGUGGAGGGGGGAAGGAGGAAAUUUGUAUGGGCCUAAAUUUAGAGAAAGGGAAAACGGUGGAGAGGAGUGGAGAGGAGAGGAAAGGAGAGAGAUUUAACUGUCCGUGGGAAAAUGGAGGAUGGAGAAAGGAAGCGACACCCAAGUGUCUUCCUUCGAACGUGGUGUGAUCGGGAAGAGAUCGGCGAGGCACAUCUGGCGCGCCACAUCCUGGCGGAAAGCACGAGUCAUCGGCGUGGCCUACAAUCGAAAAUGAACCGAGACACUCGCCGUGUCGUGGGAGAUUAAAGGAAAGGGGAGUAUCUUCCGUUCCGAUGAAGACGUUUCCACGCGAUACUUUGUUGUUGCGUUGGGAAGUCGAUCAGUGGGUCUGCCCCAUUGGCUCGCAACAUCAAAGACUUAGCCCUAAAGGGAAGAUUUAGCAUUGUCUAACCGGGAGAAAGAUGAAAAGGAAAUUUAAAAUUGGAGUUGGAGAGAAGGA